rnacentral:rRNA from 1 species
GAUGAACGCUAGCGGCAGGCCUAAUACAUGCAAGCCGAACGGCAAGUUUGAUAGCAUUAUUGGACCUAGAGUGGCGCAAGGGUGCGUAACACGUAUGCAACCUGCCCGCGACAGGAGGAUAGCUCCCCGAAAGGGGAAUUAACCCCCCAUAACACCAUGAGAAGGCAUCUGAUUAUGGUUAAACCGCAAGGGGUCGCGGAUGGGCAUGCGGUUGAUUAGCUAGUUGGCGGGGUAAAGGCGCACCAAGGCGGUGAUCAAAAGGGGUUCUGAGAGGAAGGGCCCGCAAGCGGGAACUGAGAUACGGGCCAGAAUCCUACGGGAAGAAGCAGUAGGGAAGAAGGGACAGGGGAUGCAAGACUGAGCCAGCCAGGCCGCGGGAAGGAAGAAGGCCGUCUGGGUCGGAAACUGGUUUUUUAAAUGGAUAAAAUACGCGAGGGCGGGGAAUUGAAGGUAACAGGGGAAUAAGCAACGGCUAACUACGUG